CUUAAACUCGGGAGGCGGAGGUUGACGUGAGCUGAAAUCACACCAUUGCACUUCAGCCUGGCCUUGAAGGCGAAACUCCAUCUCACAAGAAAAAAAAAGAAAAGAAAAGAGUCCUAAUAGUCCCUAGGUCCAGCCCAUGCUCAAAAGGAGAGGAUUAUACAGGACAUGAAUAUGAGGAGGCUGUUUGCCACAGUCCUCAAAGACAUCCUCACUCUGCCCUCUCACAACAUUUUGAGAGGCUGAGGCAGGAGGAUUGCUUGAGGCCAGCAGUUGGAGACCAGCCUGAGCAACACAGGGAGCUCUGGUCUCUGCAAAAAAUACACAAAAUUAGCCAGGUGUGGUGGUGCAUGCCUAUCGUUCCAUCUACUUGAGAGGCUGAGGGGGAAGGACUGAUUGAGCCCAGGGGUCUUGGGACAGGGGUGUGGGUUGAGGCUGCAAUGAGCCGACAUUGCCCCACUGCACUCCCACCUGGAUGACAGAGUGAGACCCCGAUUCAAAAAAAAAAAAAAAACCCUCACUCUGCAUCCCUAAUGGCCAUGUUGGCCUGGAUGGUCUCCAUCUCUUGACCUUGUGAUCUGCCCGCGCUCCUUCCCCCCUGCUGCUUCUCCAUCUCCAUCUCUCCAUCUUCAGCUCCUGGCCUUUCCUGGCAUGGGGCAGGGCAGUGGUUGUGGGAUCCUCCUCCAGCUUGUGCAGGCCUGGGCCGCCCUGGUCAGUGUGACUGGGCAACAGUGCAGUUCACGCCCUGGAUUGGCAGUGGCAGCAGAAGGAGGCGAGGGAGGGACCUCCAGGCAGGAGACGCCGCCGCGCCCCCAGCAGCAGGCAGGGCGGGGGAGAAAGACGCCAGGAAUGGCCAAGGGUCGCCCAGGACUGCGCCCCCUGAUUCCUGCCCGCGAGCAGCUGCUGGGACCCCUCCCUGCCAAGUUGCUCCCCGAAAAGCUCUAAGGCGCUCAGAACUGCAGGGAGAGACCCUUCUUCCUCACUGUGGCGAAGCACUCUAUUGUCCUGACCCCACAGUUCCUGUCCCAUGACCAGGGCCAGCUCACCAAGGAGCUGCAGCAGCAGCACAUAGUCAGUGCCAUCCCUCAUGCGAGCACCUGAGGAAGGUGAGUGAGUGCAGACAGAUAGGGCCUGGUGCCCUUGAACAGUUCCUGGUCUUGGCUGCCCCACGCCUCACAGGGGGCCAUGCUGGGGGAAGCGUAGGCAGUCACAGUACUGGCUUUUCCCUCCUUUUUCCUUCCAUAUAAGUGUCUUAGUGAUGGGGCAGACUAGUUGACUUAUUUGGAUAAAAACUGCUAUCUUGUGUCAGAAACUCAAAAAGAAUCACUGCUGGCAUGUUAAUCUAAAGAAAAACAACCAGACAAGUGCCCAGUGAUACUUAAAAAGGUUAUUUAUUUGUUUAUUUGAGACAGAGUCUUGCUCUCUGAUCCAAGCUGGAGUGCAAUGGUGUGAUCUUGGCUCACUGCAACCUCUGCCUCCUGAGUCCAAGCGAUUAUCCUGUCUCAGCCUCCCAAGUAGCUGGAACUAUAAGCAUGUGCCACCACACUGGCUAAUUUUGUAUUUUUAGUAGAGACGGGGUUUCGCCAUGUUAGCCAAGCUGGUAUUUAACUCCUGACCUCAGGCGGUCGUCUUGUCUCAUCCUCCCAAAGGUCUGGGAUUACAGGGGUGAGCCACCACACUUGGCCUAAAGGUUACUUAUUAUCCUGCAAAAUUUAGGCUGGGUAUGGUGGCUCAUGCCUGUAAUCCCAGCAUGUUGGGAGGCAGAGGUAGGCAAAUCACCUGAGGUUAGGAGUUCAAGACCAGCCUGACCAGUAUGGUGAAAUCUCAUCUCUACUAAAAAUACAAAAAUGAGCCAGGGUUUGUGAAUAGAGGGUGGGCGUCCGUGUCCCAUCAGUGUGAUGGGAGCUGAGAAGCCCAUCAGAUGGAGAGGAAAGGGCUGCACCUGCUGGGAGGUUUGCAAUAUGGAAGUCACUAGGAGUGACGUGACCAGGAUGUGAAUGGGGACUGUAUUGUCCUUUGUUUUGUAAAAUGCAUAUGGGGCAGAUCAUUGAUUGACCCAAAGGAGAAAGGGUCUUAAAGUCCUUAUGUUAUCCAAACAUAAAGAAAUGACAGGCUAGGUGUGGUGGCUCAUACCUGUAACUGGGAGGCUGAGGCCAGCAGAUCAGUGAGGUCAGGAGUUCCAGACCAGCCUGACCAAUAUGGUGAAACCCUGUGUCUACUAAAAAUACAAAAAUUAGCC
rnacentral:lncRNA from 1 species